rnacentral:lncRNA from 1 species
AAGUUAAAUUUUUUAAUAUAAUAUUCCAACUGACUUGCUCAUAUUCGAAUCUUUUAAUAUUCAAACGAGUGACCGACCGUCCCUAAAGCAAGUGAUAAAGGACUUGAUGGUUGGUAUCUAAGGUCCCAAGUUCGAAUCUUAGUUGAUUCACAUUUCUAGCUAAAUUUAUUUCUAAAUAAAAUAAACGAAAUGAAUAACUGUGCUACCUAUCUCUAAAA